rnacentral:rRNA from 1 species
CCUACGGGAGGCAGCAGUGAGGAAUAUUGGUCAAUGGACGAGAGUCUGAACCAGCCAAGUAGCGUGAAGGAUGACUGCCCUACGGGUUGUAAACUUCUUUUAUAUGGGAAUAAAACGUUCCACGUGUGGCUUUUUGUAUGUACCAUAUGAAUAAGGAUCGGCUAACUCCGUGCCAGCAGCCGCGGUAAUACGGAGGAUCCGAGCGUUAUCCGGAUUUAUUGGGUUUAAAGGGAGCGUAGGUGGGUUGUUAAUUCAGUUGUGAAAGUUUGCGGCUCAACCGUAAAAUUGCAGUUGAUACUGGCAGCCUUGAGUACAGUAGAGGUGGGCGGAAUUCGUGGUGUAGCGGUGAAAUGCUUAGAUAUCACGAAGAACUCCGAUUGCGAAGGCAGUCUACUAGACUGCAACUGACACUGAUGCUCGAAAGUGUGGGUAUCAAACAGGAUUAGAUACCCGGGUAGUC